rnacentral:lncRNA from 1 species
UUUAAUCCUUUUGCAUGGAGUUGGAUUCGUGCUGCAGCCAGUUUGGGAACACGGCGCUAAUUGAAAACCUUUCAGAAGAACUCAGUCGCACUCUAUAGUCUGCAAAGCAGAGACAGACAUUUAAAGAAAGUGAAAUGGAACACAUUGGGGAAAGGCUGUUAUUCAUUACAGCAGGGAUUUCAAGAACCACAUGACCACCCAUCUCCAAAAUCCUCAUUAUCUGCCUGAAGUAUCUUUCAAAAAAGGAGGCAAAAGAACUAGAUUAAACUUGUGGAGAAUUCUCAUUGUUGCAAGGAAACAUCC